UGUAAUGGGCAGGAAGCUUUCAAAAAUGCUGCUCAAGAAGUACUAGUGUAGCAGUCACUUUCUGGAAGGUGAUUUUGUAAGGAUUCACCAGAACAAACGCAAUGAGCCACACAGUUUCCGCAGGCCUCAGCACUGGUGUCUGCAGUUAAGGAACACUGUUGCAUUCAGAGGGGGCUGCACCAAGUACCUGGUUGCAGCUCAGUGUGUCAAGGAGGGUGAUAGUUUCAAUACUUUUAGUGGAGGUAUAGGUUUCCGGAUCAAAGCAAAUUUUGGGGUAAGCAGCUGCACACCAACUGUUAACGUACCUGUCAUGUGACAUCACACCAUGUUGUCAAAAUGGCUCCUGAAAGUGAGUAAAGAGCAGUUACUCAAUUAAUGGAAGAAUGUCUGUGGUAACCGUGUGUAUGAGCAUCACAAGACGUUACAUGACCUCAAGAAGGGCAUCAUCUUGCAGCUACAUGCAUAUAUCUUUAGAAGGGACCGAUAUUCAGCAACUUAUCUCGACAGAAUUAUACCACAGUUGGGGAUUAUAUGGAGAACCUACGAAAUUUUUGUUUGACACAGUUUUGAUCAUUUAUAGAUAAACGUUAACUGCCAUUUCAUUUUCAUUGACUCUUGCAAUGUUCAGGUUUCAGCAGACGUGUUUUCUUGGGUCAUUGCAGUUGCUUAAGACCAGAUUGCAUGAAGAUCUUAAGGCACUUUACAUGUAUUCUAGUUUCAAGGAUUAAUUUUUCCUAGUUUAUUUACAUUGGUUUUUCUCAUGUAAAAGCAGUAAACCUGAAUAACAUAUGUAAACUUUAGUAUUAUUGCUUGUUACACAUCAUUUAAAAUAAAUUACAGUGACUUUCAAGUGUAAGUUAUGAAUUAAAGUCAUGAGGUUAUA